rnacentral:rRNA from 1 species
AACGAACGCUGGCGGCGUGGAUAAGACAUGCAAGUCGAGCGGGAACUUUCGCUGUAGCAAUACAGUGAAAGUUCUAGCGGCGAACGGGUGCGUAACACGUGGACAAUCUGCCUUAAAGUGGGGGAGUAGCUCGGCGAAAGACCGAAUUAAUACCGCAUGUGAUGAGAGACGACAUCGUCUUGAAAUACAAAGACCGGGGCGAACCUGGCGCUUUUGUAGGAGUCCGCGGCCAUCAGCUAGUUGGUGAGGUAACGGCCCGACCAAGGCUAUGACGGGUAGCUGGUCUGAGAGGACGACCAGUCACACUGGAACUGAGACACGGUCCAGACUCCUACGGGAGGCAGCAGUGGGGAA